ACUGUUUGAGUACUAGUUAUAGCAUUAAAUCUCAGUGCGCAGCACACUAAGGACAGAGAUCCUAUUGGUUGUGUUUCCCUGAAGACCCCUCAUUAAUUUAGGCACACAUCUUGUGACAGAUAAUAGACCCUGAAGUAAAUAGAUUUCAUGUCUGGAAAUGAGUAAGCUUUUCCUUCGUCUAGGGCGUUAGUUGUGUAAGCUGAGUACAUUAAGCAAUCUGUUGGUGUUUUUAUGGUCACCACCACAUGAAGUUCCUCAAAUUCCUUUUGUGCUACAUUUUCUCAGAAUGAGGGCUGCUGUUCUGUGGGCUCUCCUCCAGGUCUUCUCCACUGCCAGGUUUCACUUUUCACUCCCCCAAUGCCCACAAUGACUGAAGCUGGUCCAGGAGCCCAGGUAGCUAUGUGUCCCAGAUUCCAUUCAGAUCGUUCAACAGAAACACUCCCUGAGGAAUCAAAUAUUCAUGCCAAUUUCUACUGAAGGUAUAGUUUAUAAUGAAACAUAAAAACAUGAAUUAUUGCUUCAUUCAGAAAUUAGCUUAUUCCCAGAGCCUUUAAAUUGGCCGUGAUCAAGACACUAAAGUGGAGUGAACCUCAUGAUUAGUGUCUGAGCUUCCUAUGACUCACAGUAACCUCAAGGAAUCACUGAGGAGACUGUAGUUGUUUAA